rnacentral:rRNA from 1 species
GACGAACGGGGGGGGAGGGAGGAACACAUGCAAGUCGAACGGAAAGGCCCUGCUUUUGUGGGGUGCUCGAGUGGCGAACGGGUGAGUAACACGUGAGUAACCUGCCCUUGACUUUGGGAUAACUUCAGGAAACUGGGGCUAAUACCGGAUAGGAGCUCCUGCUGCAUGGUGGGGGUUGGAAAGUUUCGGCGGUUGGGGAUGGACUCGCGGCUUAUCAGCUUGUUGGUGGGGUAGUGGCUUACCAAGGCUUUGACGGGUAGCCGGCCUGAGAGGGUGACCGGCCACAUUGGGACUGAGAUACGGCCCAGACUCCUACGGGAGGCAGCAGUGGGGAAUAUUGCACAAUGGGCGGAAGCCUGAUGCAGCAACGCCGCGUGCGGGAUGACGGCCUUCGGGUUGUAAACCGCUUUCGCCUGUGACGAAGCGUGAGUGACGGUAAUGGGUAAAGAAGCACCGGCUAACUACGUG